rnacentral:rRNA from 1 species
UACGAAGGGGGCUAGCGUUGCUCGGAAUUACUGGGCGUAAGGGGAGCGUAGGCGGAUAGUUUAGUCAGAGGUGAAAGCCCAGGGCUCAACCUUGGAAUUGCCUUUGAUACUGGCUAUCUUGAGUACGGAAGAGGUAUGUGGAACUCCGAGUGUAGAGGUGAAAUUCGUAGAUAUUCGGAAGAACACCAGUGGCGAAGGCGACAUACUGGUCCGUUACUGACGCUGAGGCUCGAAAGCGUGGGGAGCAAACAGG